rnacentral:rRNA from 1 species
GUCUAUGGCCAUACCACCCUGAACAUGCCUGAUCUCAGCUGAUCUCAAAUGAAGUUGAGCAGGGUCCUCCUGGUUAAUACUUAAAAAGUACGUAGCAAAGAAAUGAAGAAUCCCUGUCUGGUGCAGCAGAUU